GACUCUGACUGGUUCUGCUUAGAUUCACACUCCGGAGCAAUACCUGAGACCACUGUCCCACCUGUGUCUUGUGCCCCCAUGAGAAAUGACACCAUGACUGCCAGACACAGGAAAUAGAAAGGAGGUUCUCCAAAGGAACAGAAUCAGAGCAAAAAAAAACUGCACUUCCCACCUCAUCAACCAUGCCUAUGUCCCAGGCAGCCAAGUGCCUAGACUGGAAACCUAGUAGUCAUAUCCACCCAUCCCCAUUCCACAGAGCAGAAGACUGUAAGGACACAGCAGUAAGCAAAAUAUAGCAGUGGUCUAGAUGGAAGACCAAGCAGAGGCCAGCCAGCAGCAAGGGUGAUCGCCUUGUGAUGGAAAGUUCGUGCACCUGCACAGGGCUGCGAGGUUUCCUGGACUGGGACAGCUGACUUGAAUAAAACUCCCUUGCCUGUAUUCAAGGUCUAUGGCCCCCUCAUCCAAAAAGUAUUUGCUCUGAACAGGCCAACAUCCACCCACUUACACACCCUGCCCAAAGAGCUUUCUAACCCAC
rnacentral:lncRNA from 1 species